rnacentral:rRNA from 1 species
AGUGAACGCUGGCGGUAGGCCUAACACAUGCAAGUCGAACGGCAGCACAGUAAGAGCUUGCUCUUACGGGUGGCGAGUGGCGGACGGGUGAGGAAUACAUCGGAAUCUACUUUUUCGUGGGGGAUAACGUAGGGAAACUUACGCUAAUACCGCAUACGACCUACGGGUGAAAGCAGGGGAUCUUCGGACCUUGCGCGAUUGAAUGAGCCGAUGUCGGAUUAGCUAGUUGGCGGGGUAAAGGCCCACCAAGGCGACGAUCCGUAGCUGGUCUGAGAGGAUGAUCAGCCACACUGGAAAUGAGACACGGUCCAGAGUCAUACGGGAGGCAGCAGUGGGGAAUAUUGGACAAUGGGCGCAAGCCUGAUCCAGCCAUACCGCGUGGGUGAAGAAGGCCUUCGGGUUGUAAAGCCCUUUUGUUGGGAAAGAAAAGCAGCAGGUUAAUACCCCGCUGUUCUGACGGUACCCAAAGAAUAAGCACCGGCUAACUUCGUG